CGCCCAGUGCUGAGCUUCUGCAGUCCAAGGAUCCUUGGGUGUGCCAGGCCAGCUCCACUGUCUCCCUCCUCCUCAGGGCACCUCCACUCCCUCCACACUCACUGCCAGGCCUUGGUCUUCACCACAUUGGCCAACAUCCUCUGCCAACAUGCAUCCAAGGUUCCCAAUAAGUGCAUUUUCCCACAUUGCCCAGAGGGCUGGAGACUGGCUGUGACCACCAGAGGCUCCAGCCGAUCCUGUGUGCAGAAUGACCUGCCUCACCUGCUCGGGGGUCCUGAGAACAGAGACAGUGUGGAGAUGGAAGCAGUCCUUAUUCCUAGAAAUGCCAGUCAUUUUCCAGGACUGUUUUCCUGAGGCCUCUACUACUUAGUUUCCCACAGUAGGGCCAGAAGCAUGUUUUGAGAUUGAGUAAUCAGAGAACUGCUGCAUUUGCAAUGCCCUCUGGUCCUAGGGAUGGCCCAGCUUAGCCACCAGCCCUCAGCUGCGGCCACACUGGCUAUCCAUGCAGCACAGCCUGAUAUCCAGGGCUCCAAACAGCCCGGCCAGCAGCUGAGGGAGGUCUAGCCAUAGUUCUGUCUCCCCAGGUACAUCUGCUGGGAGGGCAGCACUGUCCCCUCACCCUCUGAUGGAACCCAUGGAUACACAUGUCCCCCUGGCUUCCAUUGUCCCCCAGGGGCUCACAGGGAGCUGCCCUGUGAGGCUGGCACCUUCAGCCCUCUGCCUGACACUGCCACCUGCCUGCCCUGCCCAAAGGGCACCUACUGCCACCAGGCUGCCACUGUGGAGCUCACCACCUGCCCCAAAGGGACAUAGUCUCCACCACAGUGUCCUCCAGGGCCCUUCACUCUUCAGAAUGCAUCAGGUCUCCGGGAAGAGGGUGACUGUCCAAUCUGUCCCCAGGGUCACUACUGCAGGUCAGUCCCUGCCCAGAGCCAUUUAUCUCCUGCCACUGGGUCAGACUGCAUUGUGGGUGGGAGAGCAGGCUCGAUGCCCCAGCUCAGGUGUAGGGGGUGGGGGUUGA
rnacentral:lncRNA from 1 species